rfam:Erinaceus europaeus unplaced genomic scaffold scaffold00494, whole genome shotgun sequence
UAGGCCGAUGAUAAGGACUUCUCCCAAUCAUGUUUGAGUUUCCAACCAUGAGAUGACUCCACGCACUACCAUCUGAGGUAGG